CUAUGUGCAUUUACUUUUCAAAUUUAACUAAAAUCUCGAUUUUCUCUGCGUGCAAAUGCGCUCUUCUCCGUGACCAAUUCCAUGCUCUUCAAUUGAAUUUGUCUCUGAAUAUGUUUUGACUUUUCAUAAAAUUCGAUCAUAUCCAGAGUGAUGUUAUUUGGGUGCGAACUGAAGCAACGGAGUUUUGGUAAUUUAGGGUUUGUCCAUAGACAGGAACCAGCCAGGUUGGUGGGCAAGUGUUGGGCAAGCUUUCGAAGAUUUAACCCUUUUAAAUGAGUGAUAGAUAGCAAAUUUUUGUUAACUCCACAAAUCACCUCCAACCCCAAUUUAUUAUUAUUGACCAAAGUUAUUCGGUUUGGCUCUUGCUUAAAGACAGAUCCAUCACUAAAUCUUGCAUUUCGACUAUUUUUCUUGGAGCAUUGAAGAAAACUUGUCAAUAGCUGUUGCUGAGUUCAUCAAAUUGGCACCUACUCUUAGUUGGAGUUUUUGUGGACCUGUGAUUAGCACUAUGACAGACAGCAGUAGCACAUACUCAACACCAGUCACAGAGAGUGAUGUUGUAAGUGCUACCAACAAUGUAUACAUUUGCUUAAUCACCUUGGAGUUAGGUUCCAUAGCGAUCAAGUAUCAAGGCCUGACCAGCAAUCCUUUCCAGGAACACAUAGCAAGUUUGUUGAUUUUCCUUGUGGCUACAUUUUGCCAUGUUGUUGGACUUAAAGCAACCAAUAAAAACUUGCUUGCUACUAUUAUUAGACACUUUUCAGGUGUAAUUGCGUGUGAAGCACUCCUGUUGAUCCUUGUCGCUCAAUUAUUCAGGAUAUGCCAAUGUGCGCUGUUGUUGUGGUAAACAGGGAUGAUUCUUGCUUUGGUGUUCAACUUAUUCCUCUUUUCUGCUAUGAGAGUGAAGCAUAUUCAGCCUCAAAUAUUAACGGAGCUCAAACAUUCAAUGAACAGAGCUUAUGUUGCGGAAGAAAGAAAAUAAAAUUAGAGUAUUGGACUCAUAGUUUUGGUUGGAUGACUUCACAAGCUUUCCUGGUUCAUAGCAUGAUUCAUGGCACCCUCUGGUAAAUUGUAUCCCAAAGCUAUACUUCCAUUUCAUCUCUCUGGAGUUAGCUUUGGUGGCUGUUUGUGUGCCAAAAUUCAGGCACCAAUCCUUUUCAGGCAUGGUAGUCAAGUGUGCUAGCUGUAUUCAUAGCUAUAUUUUACCAUGCCAUUUCACCAGAAGCAAUUUCAGCUUGAUAGUUGCGAUUUGCUUCCUCAUGCUUCUUGAAUGAAUGCAUGUGCGACUCUUUGGAUGCUUGUUAAUGAACAAAAGACUUUGUCUUCAACUCGAGAUCGCAGUUUUCUUUGACAUGUUAGAGAAAAUUUCAAAUAGACGCCUAAUUCAAUGACAUGACAUGUUUUUAACUGAGAAACUUGGGCGAAAAGCAGCAGCAGAUUAAGUUGUGCAGUGUCUAUUAUUUGCAAGGAAAUCCAUAUUGAAGAGGCUUUGCUGAGAAGCUCUUUUUGUUCUUGGUGAUGUUGCUAGGUUAGAGGCAGAGCAGUAAUUAGUCACUAGAACUACAAGAGAGCCAUUGAUUAGUUUGUUUCUGGUUGUUGGGUCUUUAUGUGACACCAAGAAGUUUUGGCUAGUACCAGUUCUCCAGAGGUUUAUACAUGACUUGCAUGUUGAUUAUGCUAUAUUAGAUGAUAUUCACCCCUAUCUUUGUUAUUUCAUAGCAAUUCAGGGAUUGCCAUUUAGAAUGAUGUGGUUCUUUUGUAAAUCUUUAUUUCUUGUCUCUCUGACAAUUCAAAGAAUUAAGUUACUAUUCACUAGUCUUUUGCAGUACACAUGCAUCUUUUUAA